AGUUAUUGAUUGAAUGAGCCGUGGUGGAAUCGAACCACCAACCUACUGAUUAAGAGUCAGUUGCUCUGCCAGUUGAGCUAACGGCCCGCGACCAGAAAAUAUAGCAUGCGGGGAGGGUGCUUUAAAGACACGAAUGUUGUGAGCUUGUCCCGGCGGUAAAAGUUUGAGUGAU
rnacentral:misc_RNA from 1 species